rnacentral:rRNA from 1 species
UACGUAGGGUGCGAGCGUUGUCCGGAAUUAUUGGGCGUAAAGGGCUCGUAGGCGGUUUGUCACGUCGGGAGUGAAAACUCAGGGCUUAACCCUGAGCCUGCUUUCGAUACGGGCAGACUAGAGGUAUGCAGGGGAGAAUGGAAUUCCUGGUGUAGCGGUGAAAUGCGCAGAUAUCAGGAGGAACACCGGUGGCGAAGGCGGUUCUCUGGGCAUUACCUGACGCUGAGGCGCGAAAGCGUGGGGAGCGAACCGG